AUUGAACGCUGGCGGCAUGCCUUACACAUGCAAGUCGAACGGCAGCACGGGAGCUUGCUCCUGGUGGCGAGUGGCGAACGGGUGAGUAAUACAUCGGAACGUACCCAGGAGUGGGGGAUAACGUAGCGAAAGUUACGCUAAUACCGCAUAUUCUGUGAGCAGGAAAGCGGGGGAUCGCAAGACCUCGCGCUCUUGGAGCGGCCGAUGUCGGAUUAGCUAGUUGGUGAGGUAAAAGCGCACCAAGGCGACGAUCCGUAGCAGGUCUGAGAGGAUGAUCUGCCACACUGGGCCUGAGACACGGCCCAGACUCCUACGGGAGGCAGCAGUGGGGAAUUUUGGACAAUGGGGGCAACCCUGAUCCAGCCAUGCCGCGUGAGUGAAGAAGGCCUUCGGGUUGUAAAGCUCUUUCGGCGGGGAAGAAAUGGCAACGGCUAAUAUCCGUUGUUGAUGACGGUACCCGCAUAAGAAGCACCGGCUAACUACGUGCCAGCCGCCGCCGUAAUAC
rnacentral:rRNA from 1 species